rnacentral:rRNA from 1 species
CGUAGGGUGCGAGCGUUAAUCGGAAUUACUGGGCGUAAAGCGUGCGCAGGCGGUUUUGUAAGUCAGAUGUGAAAGCCCCGGGCUCAACCUGGGAACUGCGUUUGAAACUACAAGGCUAGAGUAUGGCAGAGGGGGGUAGAAUUCCACGUGUAGCAGUGAAAUGCGUAGAGAUGUGGAGGAAUACCAAUGGCGAAGGCAGCCCCCUGGGUCAAUACUGACGCUCAUGCACGAAAGCGUGGGGAGCAAACAGGAUUAGAUACCCUGGUAGUCCACGCCCUAAACGAUGUCUACUAGUUGUUGGGAGAGUAAAAUCUCUUAGUAACGCAGCUAACGCGUGAAGUAGACCGCCUGGGGAUACGGGUCGCAAGAUUA